CAAUAGCGUAUAUUUAAGUUGUUGCAGUUAAAAAGCUCGUAGUUGGAUUUCGGAUGGGACUUGCCGGUCCGUCGUUUCGAUGUGCACUGGCCAGUCCUAUCUUGUUGUCGGGGACUAGCUCCUGGGCUUCACUGUCCGGGACUAGGAGCUGACGAGGUUACUUUGAGUAAAUUAGAGUGUUCAAAGCAAGCCUACGCUCUGAAUACAUUAGCAUGGAAUAACACGAUAGGACUCUGGCUUAUCUUGUUGGUCUGUGAGACCAGAGUAAUGAUUAAGAGGGACCGUCGGGGGCAUUCGUAUUUCAUUGUCAGAGGUGAAAUUCUUGGAUUUAUGAAAGACGAACUUCUGCGAAAGCAUUUGUCAAGGAUGUUUUCAUUAA
rnacentral:rRNA from 1 species